rnacentral:rRNA from 1 species
GUCCACGCCGUAAACGAUGAGUGCUAGGUGCUGUGGGUAUUGACCCCCGCGGUGCCGCAGCCAACGCGUUAAGCACUCCGCCUGGGGAGUACGGCCGCAAGGCUAAAACUCAAAGGAAUUGACGGGGGCCCGCACAAGCGGUGGAGCAUGUGGUUCAAUUCGACGCAACGCGCAGAACCUUACCUGGGGUUAAAUCCACUAGAAGCUGCCAGAGAUGGCGGGGUGCCCUUCGGGGAACUAGUGAGACGGUGCUGCAUGGCUGUCGU